rnacentral:rRNA from 1 species
GACGAACGCUGGCGGCGUGCUUAACACAUGCAAGUCGAACGGAAAGGCCCUGCUUUUGUGGGGUGCUCGAGUGGCGAACGGGUGAGUAACACGUGAGUAACCUGCCCUUGACUUUGGGAUAACUUCAGGAAACUGGGGCUAAUACCGGAUAGGAGCUCCUGCUGCAUGGUGGGGGUUGGAAAGUUUCGGCGGUUGGGGAUGGACUCGCGGCUUAUCAGCUUGUGGGUGGGGUAGUGGCUUACCAAGGCUUUGACGGGUAGCCGGCCUGAGAGGGUGACCGGCAACAAUGGGACUGAGAUACGGAGCAGACUCCUACGGGAGGCAGCAGUGGGGAAUAUUGCACAAUGGGCGGAAGCCCGAUGCAGCAACGCCGCGUGCGGGAUGACGGCCUUCGGGUUGUAAACCGCUUUCGCCUGUGACGAAGCGUGAGUGACGGUAAUGGGUAAAGAAGCACCGGCUAACUACGUG